UUGUCUUCAUUUUGAAAUUGCAGCUUUAC
rnacentral:piRNA from 2 species